GGAUGGGUGCCCGAGCGGCCGAAGGGGCAGCACUGGAAAUGCUGUGUACCGUUUAUCGGUACCGUGGGUUCAAAUCCCACCCCAUCCGCCA
rnacentral:tRNA from 1 species